rnacentral:rRNA from 1 species
UACACUCCUACGGGAGGCAGCAGUGGGGAAUUUUGGACAAUGGGCGAAAGCCUGAUCCAGCAAUGCCGCGUGAGUGAAGAAGGCCUUCGGGUUGUAAAGCUCUUUUGUCAGGGAAGAAACGGUGAGAGCUAAUAUCUUUUGCUAAUGACGGUACCUGAAGAAUAAGCACCGGCUAACUACGUGCCAGCAGCCGCGGUAAUACGUAGGGUGCAAGCGUUAAUCGGAAUUACUGGGCGUAAAGCGUGCGCAGGCGGUUUUGUAAGUCUGAUGUGAAAUCCCCGGGCUCAACCUGGGAAUUGCAUUGGAGACUGCAAGGCUAGAAUCUGGCAGAGGGGGGUAGAAUUCCACGUGUAGCAGUGAAAUGCGUAGAUAUGUGGAGGAACACCGAUGGCGAAGGCAGCCCCCUGGGUCAAGAUUGACGCUCAUGCACGAAAGCGUGGGGAGCAAACAGGAUUAGAAACCCCGGUAGUCCCAUGA